AGAAGUUGUUUUUCUGCCAUGUCAUUUAAGUAGACUUAUAAUGGGUUUUGUUUAAAUAAUAAUUCAGCCCAGCCCCACUCUUUUUAAAAACUCUUUUACGGCUUAGCUUUGAGAGUCAUAACUCUUCCACUUCUCUCUUUUCCGAUCUAUGAGUUUUAGCUUUACUUUGAUCUCUUCUGAUCAAUCAAUGAUUUGCAUUCCUAAUUGUCGUCUUCAAAACUGUAACUUCUAUAUGACGAUUCACUUUUCACGUAAUCCUCCACUAUAUAUACGAUGCUCCAGAUUUACACGGCUGCGAUAUAUAUUCAUCACUCUUCACCACAUAUACCUCUAUAUGAGUGACUCUUAAAAGUCCCUAAACCCAUCAACGCAACAAUCUCUCCCACCGUCUUUUUCCGAUGACCUGGUCCCCAUAUCCUCCCAGAACCGGAUGCUAAUUGGUCUUCAACUAAUCUUCAUCGACGAGAAGAUAUUCAAUUUCGAUUCCUUGAGCUUAAACCUGUAUUAAUUGUUUGAUCUAAGGUUUGCACUUUUAAUUGUUAUUAUUGUGCAGUGUUUGGGUUGCAAGAAGACCACCUGGUUACGCUUUUCUUGAUUUUGAAGACUCAAGGGACGACCGCGACGCCAUCCGUGACUUAGAUGGCAAGAAUGGAUGGAGAGUAGAGCAGUCUCAUAACCGUGGCGGUGGUGAAGGCCAUGGUGGUGGUCGUGGAGGAGGUGAUGGUGGUCGUGGCAGUGUUUCGGUUGCAAGAAGACCACCUGGUUAUGCUUUUCUUGAUUUAGAAGACUCAAGGGACGCCCGCGACGCCAUCCGUGACUUAGAUGGCAAGAAUGGAUGGAGAGUAGAGCAGUCUCAUAACCGUGGCGGUGGUCGUGGAGGAGGUGAUGGUGGUCGUGGCCGUGGUGGUUCUGAUUUGAAGUGCUAUGAGUGUGGCGAGUCUGGUCACUUUGCAUGUGAAUGCCGCUCCUGUGGUGGUGGUGGCGGCUUUAGGAGGGGUCGAAGUCCUUCUCCUCGUGGUCGCAGCCGUAGCCGAAGUCCUCCAAGAUACAGAAAGAGCCCAACCUAUGGAGGGCACAGGUUCUUUGUUAUUUGACAUAUAUAUAUAUAUAUAUAUAUAUUUUAGCGAAAAAAGAACUAGGUGUUCUUAGAAAUAAAUAAUCUGUCAGAUAAGUUAUUUUCUGAUGAACGAUCACCUUUGUGUGGUCAAUUAAGAAACAAAAUGAAAAGGGGAAGGGUGGGCAUUCAAAAAAUUGAAGUUGGGACCAAUACCACCUAAAAUGAGUUCUGCAUCACUCCAAAUACGUAAGAACAAUACUAGGGAAAAAAACAAAGAAAAGAUUAAACUACAUUUUUUCCGUAACAGAAUAUUAAACUACAUUUCCAGUAUUAGUUAGAGUGUCAGUCAUAUUAGUUAUUUUUGGAUUCCGAAUUGAAAUAUAUCUUAUAGCUACACAACAUCUGUUAAAUGGGACAAAGAUUAUAAUUUCAUGUUACAGUUACAUAUACAGUAGAAUUUCUAUAAAUUAAUACUCGAUAAACUAAUAAACACGAUAAAUUAAUUAAAAAAUUCAAUUCCGAGUUGGCCAUAUUCAAAAAACGACACAAAUCGAUAAAAUAAUAAAAUAAUAAUUUUUUUUAUAAAAUCUAAUGUAAAUAUAUAAUUCUAUUAUAGUCAUAAAUUAAUAAUUCAUAUAUAUAGUGUUUAUAUAACUACAAACAAAUCAUUCUAUUAUUUGUUUUAUAUUCACAGUGAUGUUCUAUUUUAUUUUUCUUAAUAGUUCAAUAUAUUUUGAUAAUAUUUGGUAAAAUUAUAUCUAAAACUACAUUUAAAUUAUAUGAAACAUAUCGUACACACCAAAUAGUAUAACAAAAUAAAAUAAGUGUAAUUUUUCAAAAUUUAAUUAAUAUAU